UGAGCGGCAACAGCUCAAAUUUGAAAUCUGCCUUCGGGCCGAGUUGUAAUUUGUAGAGGAAGCAUUUAUGGUGAGGCACCUUCUGAGUCCCCUGGAACGGGGCGCCAUAGAGGGUGAGAGCCCCGUAUAGUCGGAUGCCGAUCCAAUGUAAAGCUCCUUCGACGAGUCGAGUAGUUUGGGAAUGCUGCUCAAAAUGGGAGGUAAAUUUCUUCUAAAGCUAAAUACCGGCCAGAGACCGAUAGCGCACAAGUAGAGUGAUCGAAAGAUGAAAAGCACCUUGAAAAGGGGGUUAAAUAGCACGUGAAAUUGUUGAAAGGGAAGCGUCUUGCGGCCAGACUUGCGCCGCCCCGAUCAUCCGGUGUUCUCACCGGUGCACUCGGGGCGGCGCAGGCCAGCAUCGGUUUCGGCGGGGGGAUAAAGGCCCGGGGAACGUGGCUCCUUCGGGAGUGUUAUAGCCCCAGGGCGUAAUGCCCUCGCCGGGACCGAGGUUCGCGCAUC
rnacentral:rRNA from 1 species